GGAGGAUGCGAGCGUUAUCCGGAUUUAUUGGGUUUAAAGGGAGCGCAGACGGGAGAUUAAGUCAGUUGUGAAAGUUUGCGGCUCAACCGUAAAAUUGCAGUUGAUACUGGGUGUCUUGAGUGCAGUUGAGGCAGGCGGAAUUCGUGGUGUAGCGGUGAAAUGCUUAGAUAUCACGAAGAACCCCGAUUGCGAAGGCAGCUUGCUAAACUGUAACUGACGUUCAUGCUCGAAAGUGUGGGUAUUAAACAGGAUUAGAUACCCUGGUAGUCCACACGGUAAACGAUGGAUACUCGCUGUUGGCGAUAUACUGUUAGCGGCCAAGCGAAAGCAUUAAGCAUCCCACCUGGGGAGU
rnacentral:rRNA from 1 species